rnacentral:lncRNA from 1 species
ACGAAUGAAGAGAUUAUAGGAGGAGCUGAACAGUUUGAGUGCCAAAUCUCAAUGUAGCUGCAACUGCAUGUGUGGAGCAAAAGAAACUAUGCACAAGGCAGAGCAGGAUCGACGACUUAUCUAAUUUUUAAUGGGCUUGAAUGAGGUCUACACAAUAGUGCGAGGGAGCAUUCUUAUGAUGAAGCAUCUGCCUUUCAUGGCAUAGGCUUUCUCUCUACUAAUACAAGAAGAAAAAUAAAGGAAAUUCAAACCUAAUAGUCAACUGACUUUGGAGUCUACUUCACUGCAUGUGAAUGCAAGUCCACAACAUCAUAAUCCACUUGGAGCCAGAAAAUUCAAGACACAUUAAACAGUCAACAAUAUAACAUGGACCAUUUUGUGACUACUGCAAAAGACCAGGACAUACGAGGGAGAAGUAUUAUAAGUUACAUGAAUACCCUCAAAGCAAUUCAUACACUAAUUGGAACCCCAAUCAUUCCAAUAAUCAGUCCUACAAUCAGGGGAACAAUCCAAAUUAUAACCUGAAUCACAAGUUCAAUAGAGGAAAAGGCUUCGUGGCAAAUGUACAUGGAACUCCAGCUGAUAUGAUUCAUGAGAAUGGAAAUGAGCAGGACCUACAUGAUGAAAAUCAGAAUUUCAACCUGACAAAAGAACAAAAUGGGCAGAUAAUGAGCUUACUGAAGCACUUUCAAGUAGGAAAUAUAGGAGGAUCUUCCAGCAAUGACAAUGUCACUAAUAGUAGUGUCAACUUUGCAGGUAUUGUAGUCUAUACCUCUUCCAUUGAUUUUGACAAACCUUCAUGCAAAUAUUUUAAAUAAAAGGCUUACCUUUGUAUCAUCGACUCAGGAGCAUCUAACCAUAUGAACUUUGAUUAAAAAUGCACUUACCAACAUCACAACACUACCCUAUCCUCGACUAAUAAGCCUUCCAAAUGGGUAUAUAGUAAAAGUUCUUGAAUUAGGAGAUGUGAUACUUUAUUCAGACAUUGUCUUACAUAGGGUCCUUUAUGUUCCAUCAUUCAAAUAUAAUUUGAUUUCUGUUCACUCUCUUGCAGUACACCUUAGAUGUAUUGUAUUCUUUAGUGAUGCAUUAUGUCUGUUGCAGGCUCAUUCAGUGGAGAGGCUUCAGGUGACUGGUAGUAGAAAAGAGGGAAUGUAUUACCUUUGUUCCAGGUGUUUGAAGGGUAAAAAGGUUGUCUUGCCAUCUACUGUUUCAGCUUCUUGUUGCAAUUGUGUUCCUACUUCUAGUAUAAAUAGUGAUGAGUAUGUUAGUCCUACUCAUUCAUGUCACAGUCCACACUUUGUAAAUACUCACAUAUCAAAUAAUAAGAAUGAGCCUUCAUGUGUGUUUGAUGAACAUGAUAUAAAUUCUCGGUGGCACAAUAGGAUUGGUCAUGUUCCUUUUGUUAAAAUGAGAGGAAUAUCCUCUAUACCUGCAAAGUUUGCACCAAGACAACCCUUUAUUUUCCCCAUAUGCCCUAUGGCAAGACAAGCCAGACUCCCUUUUCGUCACAGAACCAGCACCACUUCCCAAUUGUUUGAACUGCUACAUAUAGGCAUAUGGGGUACCAUGUAACUACCUAUGAUAACCACAAAUACUUUUUAACCCUAGUGGAUGACUUUAGAAGAUCCACUUGGACUCAGCUGUUAAGCUACAAAAGUAAUGCCAUUCAAGCCUUAAAAGCUUUUGUAGUCAUGAUUGAAAACCAGUUCAAUACAUCUAUAAAGAUCAAUAGAUCUGAUAAUGACGUAAAAUUCACUAGCCAUGAAGCCUCUUCAUUUUACCAGUCCAAAGGAAUCAUACACCAGAAAACUUGUCCCUAUACACCACAUCAGAAUGGUGUAGUAGAGAGAAAACACAAGUAUCUUCUUGAAACUGCUAGAGCACUUAUGUUUCAGUCCAAACUACCAACUAAAUGUUGGGGAGAGUUCAUCUUGACAGCCACCUAUCUAAUAAAUAGUUUGCCAACCACUUACCUAAAUAACAAAUAUCUUUUGAACUGCUAUAUCAAAAGAAACCCAACUACUCCCACUUGAGAAGUUUUGGUUGUUUCUUCUACCCCAUUGUGCUCAAGGUACAUAGAGAUAAAUUUGAACCAAGAACCACCCCUCACAACUUUGUAGGAUAUUCAUUUGGAACAAAAGGUUAUAAGGUACUAAGCCUAGCCACCAAGAGAACACAUAUCUCUAGAGAUGUGAUCUUUCAUGAAAAUGUGUUUCUAUUUGCUAUGUCUUCUAAAAAUGUUUCCUUUCCUGUUGUCCUUAAGUUAGUUUCAUUUCCUAACUAUGUUGAAGAUAGUAGUUAACAUUCUCCUAUGAGUACUGGACAAAGUCCUGCCAUUGUCGCAUCUCCGGACAUGCAACAUUACUCUAAGACUCUUUCCACCUGUGAUACAUUUUUUUUAAAUACAUCUAGUUCUACAUCUCGAGGUGACAACAAUAUACAAAUUUCAUCUUCAUUUGUACAGUCAGAAGCACCAGCUUUAAGAAAGUCCAAUAGAAAUCAUCAAACCCUUGUUUACCUAAAAGACUAUGUUUAUCAAUUGCCUAGUAAUAGUCAACUACCUACUACUUCUCAUUGCACUCCUUCAUUAAAUGCCCUAUUCUCUAAUCAUCAUCACAUCUCUCCUAAUGUUUUAACUUCUGUAAAUCAAUAUUUGGUGCAAAGUGUUUGCCAUGAUAGUGAGCCAUCUUCAUAUGAAGAGGCAACACUCAAUCCUGCAUGGCAGACAACCAUGACACAGGAAUUUGAGGCACUCCAUUCCAAUCAUACUUGGGAUUUAGUUCCUUUACCAGCUGGCAAACAAGCAAUAGGUUGCAAGUGGGUGUAUAAGGUCAAACAUAAAGCAGAUGAGAGUAUUGAAAGGUUCAAAACCAGGCUGAUAGUAAAGGAAUAAACUCAGCAGGCUGGGAUUGAUUAUACAGAAACCUUCUCCCCUAUGGUGAAAAUGACAAUUGUUAGGGUGCUAGUUACAAUUUCUGUUAAGAGGGGAUGGGACAUAUUUCAAUUAGAUGUGAAUAAUGCCUUCCUCCAUAGAGACCUACAUGAGGAGGUAUACAUGGAGGCUCCUCUUGAUCUUGUAAUUGAUUAAUGCAGUUCAAGCAAGGUGGUUUGCAGGCUAAACAAAUCUAUAUAUGGUCUCAAACAAGCCAGUAGACAAUGGUAUGCCAAACUGACUGAGGCACUGUCUUCAAAAGGGUACCAACACUCUGAAAAUGAUUAUUCCCUUUUCUGCUAGAAAAUUUCCGCGUCUAUCAUCUUUGUGGCUGUAUAUAUUGAUGAUGUUAUAAUUACUGGGACUGAUUUAGAAGAGAUUGCUAGUUUGAAAGCAUUCCUCGAUAAAAGGUUCAGAAUAAAGGAUUUAGGCAGACUUCACUAUUUUUUGGACUAGAUGUCCUAUACAAACUAGAUGGCGUUCUUAUUUCUCAGAGAAAAUUUGUCUUGGAUCUACUGAAGGAAUAUUAGUGUUUUGACUACAGUAGUGUGUCCCCACCUCUUGAUCCUGCUGUGAAGUUGAAGGCACAAGAAGGGAAUCUUCUACCAGACCCUACAUACUACAGAAAGCUAGUGAGAAAGCUCAACUUUCUCACUAACACUAGGCUAGACAUAGCCUACAGUGUGUAACUCUUGAGCCAGUUUAUGCAAGCUCCAAGAGAUUCACAUUUGACUGUUGCAUUCCAUCUUUUCAGAUACCUCAAAAAGGAUCCAACUCUGGACAUCUUCUUCUCCAACAAUCCUGAUUGUUCUAUCAAAGCUUAUUGUGAUUUAGACUGGGCUGCAUGUCUUGACUCUAGGAGAUCUGUCACUGGGUACAUUGUUCUAGUAGGAGAUAGUCCUAUUAGUUAGAAGUCCAAGAAGCAGGAGAUUGUUUCCCUAUCCUCAGCUGAGGCAGAAUACAGGUCCCUCAUGAAGGUACUUUAAGAGUUGUUUUGAUUAAGCAGGCUAUUUGCAGAGCUUACUGUUGCUCAAUCCAGUCCUAUUAAGGUGUUCUGUAAUACCCAGUCUGCCAUACACAUUGCCCACAAUCCUGUAUUUGCAUAACAAAGCACAUUGAAGUAUAUUUUCACUUUGUAAGGAACAAGCUGCAAAAAGGCCUAAUCUCUCUUCGUCAUGUAGCUACUCACAAUCAGUUGACUGACAUUCUUACUAAGGACCUCACAGGGGUCAAACAUUCAGCUGUUUUCGGCAAGUUGGCUUUGAGAAUCUCACUUCCAACUUGGGGGNNNNNNNNNNNNNNNNNNNNNNNNNAUUCUAAACUAAGUAUAGUGUAUGUCGGUUGUUCCCCCCCCCCCCCCCCCCCCCCCCGCCCCUCUCUCCUUCUCUCAGAAUAUUCUAGAAAACUCCAUUGAAGCUCAACUGUCUUGAUUUUGCUUGGAAUCAUAUUAAGUUCUCUGUUUGUAAAAGGUUUAUUAAUACCUGUGAAUCAGAUUCCACAAUCAAUGGAUGAAAAUUGCGCAAAGAGGUUAUUUUAAGUCCAUGAAAAAGUGCUAGUAGCUCCGCCUGGAGCGCAUCUGUGAGUGGAAUAUGUUUUGUGUAGCCACAUAGCCAUCGACCGUGUGUAUCUCUAAAUACACCCUAAGGCCUCCAAUCUGUGUUAAUGGGUCGGCAGCUCCAUCAAUGUUGAGUUUGAUGUGUCCUAGUGGCGGCUUAUGCCAGCGUACUGUGAGUUGCAUGCAUUGUUGGGUGAUUGUACGCGGCUUGGUAAGGAAAAAAAUUUGUGUAGCAUGUGAUAUGAUUGUAGGAAGGCAAACAUUGGUAGUAGUAGUUUGAUCAAAAGUAUUCCUAUUGUGAUUUAUCCAAAUGUGCCAAAGAAUGACAGAAGUAAGUACUUUAAGGGGAAUGGAGGUAGAACGAUUUAGAAGGAUAGGCGCGUUGGAAUGGAAAAUAUUUUUUCAGCCAAUUAAUUUGGUCAGUUGUUGGUGAUUGUAUGUUGAAAUAAGUCCAAACGUUGCUAGCUGGUCGACAGUGUAUAGAAAGGUGGGUCAGAUCCUCAAAACUAUUUUGGCAAAUACUACAUUUGGAGGAGAGGGUUAUGUUUCGAUAAUAAAGGAGUGAAGCAGUUGGCAAACGAUUGAGAACAAGUAGCCAUAAGAAGUGUUUGAUUUUUUUAGUGGCAGUCGUCUUCCAAAUCCAUUUAUGAGGGAAGGGGUGGCAGUAGUUAUCAGAAUGGUGAGUAAUUAGCUUGUAGGCUGAGGAUGUGGAGAGCAUGCCAUUCACUUUAUUAUUCCAGAAGGGUGUGUCUGUGGAUGAAUUUACCAAAGGAAUAUGAAUAUUUUGGAUUCUACUAAUAAUUGUGUUGGGCAUGUCGAAGGAGAGAUUAGCAAAAUUCCAAGUAUUAUCUGAGAUGAUGGUAUUAAGGGAGUGCAUAAUCUCUUCAUCAAGUAAUGGUCCAUGAAUAAACUGUCCCGAGGAAAGAUUAGGAGGUAUCCAAUAAUCAUUCCAGAGAUGAAUAGAGUGACCUGAUGCUAUGUUCUAGCCUGUGCCCAUUCAACAGAUGUGAGAGGUUUGCUUCAUACUUCUCCAAAUAUUUGAAGAAGUUUGGGUAGAAUGUUGGAUGUAGUAAUAAGGACGGGUUGCGAGUGAUGCUGGGCUAUAUUUAGAACGGAGUACAGUCGCCCAUAAGAGGUCCGGUGUAUGAUGAUAACGCCAAUUGAGGCUUGUUAUCAUGGAUAAGUUUUGGGAUGCCUAGGCCUCCUUGGUCUUUUGGCGUGGUGACUUGAUCCUAGUUGAGGAGGUGAAUUUUUUGUUUUUGAGGUGUGGAUACCCAAAGAAAAUUGCUUUGCAUGCGGUCGAUUUGAAAGAGGGUCUUGCUUGGGAGUAAGUGGAGCCGCAUUGCAUAAGUUGGUAUAGAGUUUAACACCGAUUUAAUCAGGGUAGUGCGGCCGACUAAUGAGAGAAAGUUAGCGCGCCACCCUGAUAGUUUGGUGUUGAUGCGAUCAAGUAAGUAUUGGUAGUCAUAUGAUUUUGGGGUCAAGGUGGUAAUUGGGAGGCCUAAGUACUAACCAAACACAGAGGAUUGUGAGAUGUUUAGUUGAGUGGAAAUAUUGUGUCAUGUAUUUGUAGUUACAUUAGACGAGCAAAAUAUUUUUGCCUCGGUAAAAUUAAUUUUUUGACCAGAAUGCUUGCUUAAUUGAUUAAAUAUGUCAGUAAUUGUCGAAGCAUUUUGGGUGUUAGCUUUUGCUAAUAAGAUUAGAUCAUCUACAAAUAAUAUGUGUGAUAGUGGUGGUGCAUUUUUGGUAAUUUUUAUUGGUGUCCACUGCCAAACGUCAACCUUAUGUUCAAUCAUUCUGGAAAGGGAUUCCACACAAAUAAUAAAUAGGCAAGGAGUGAGCGGAUCUCCUUGGCGUAUACCUCUUGUUGGUUGAAAGUAAGGAGAGGGUUUGCCAUUAAUAAGGAUUUAUAUGAACGAUGUAGUAACACAUGACAUGAUUAAUUUUACAAGGGGUGGAGGAAAUUUAGUUGAUGAAGAGAAAAGUAUAGAAAGGACCAUUCAAGUCGGUCAAACGCCUUUUCCAGAUCGAUUUUUAGAAGUAUAUUCUUCGAUUUUCCCUUUGGUAUUUAAAAGAGUGAAUUAUUUCUUGAACGAGUAUGGCAUUAUCUGCAACACGCCGCCCAGGGAUAAAACUACUUUGUGUAGGGUUGAUUAUUUUUUACAGUAGGGGUUGGAUGCGAAGAACUAUAAUUUUAGUAACGAUUUUAUAAGUAGCAUUGCACAAACCAAUUGGGUGGUAUUGUGUUACAUGUUCUGGAUGGGGUGGGAAAACACACAUAACUCUAACAAAAAGCUUUUGGUACAAAAUCUGCGUCAUUACCAAGAGAUUACUGAAGAAAAGAUACAUGUUUAUUCACUAAUUAAAAUUACAACAUGUCGGAAUUUUAUAAUUAAAAUGAAUUGACAACUGAAGAGAUUAUGAUACAGUACAAGAAUAAUGCAUACCUAUCAAAUUGUUCACUGCAUCGAUCCCAAUAGCUUCAGCUACCUAUCAAGCGCAUAUAUAAUAAGAUUAGUAUUAGACCGAACAACAACUAAAAAUAUCAAAAUUAAGUGCAUGUAUUUGACUACAAUCUCAAUAUCAAACCAAUUGAACAGAAAAUAACAAAAAUAUAGAUUAAAAACUAAUAGAAAGAAGAAAUAAAACCAUUAGCAGAAAUUGACAGCUAAACCAGUAAAAUCGACGAUCGAAUCAAUAAAAUUGACUGCCAAAUGGUGAAAUUGACGGCUAAACUAGUAAAUCGACCACUAAAAUCAGUGAUUUAAACUGAUCUUCAUCCAAUACACACACAUACACGCCUUAACUCUAUUAGCAAAAUCGAAAGCCAAAUCAGUGAAAUUCACAGCUAAGAUCAGUGCUUUAAACUGAUAUCCAUCCAAUAUACCUACAUGCACGCCUUAAAUCAGUGAAAUCGAUAGCUAAUUUAGCAUUUUGAAAGGAAUUACACAAACGACUUGAAACAAGAGACGAAUUGAAACGAGUAUUUAUCAGUAAAAGGCUAUUUAUAAACGAAUUGAAAUAAAUUACCGCAUCUAAAUGAGUUGAAAUCUUAUCUCCUUACAAAAACCGAAACGAUUUGGGAGAAUCCUUAAACAAUAUUGCCUAAAACGAUUUGGGAGAGCCGUCUUUUUGAGAGGGAGAGAAGGCGUACGUAGAGAGAGCGGGAGAGAGAGAAAAGAGUGUCUGUGUUUAAUAGUAAAAUGAUUAAUAGGGAGUUUUCUAAAUAUGUUGAAGGAAAAGAAUUACUAUUAAGAACUGUG